rnacentral:rRNA from 1 species
GAGCGUUGUCCGGAUUUACUGGGCGUAAAGCGCGCGCAGGCGGUCCUGAAAGUCGAGCGUGAAAGCUCCCGGCCCAACUGGGGGAGGCCGUUCGAAACUUCAGGACUUGAAGGCGGGAGAGGCAAAUGGAAUUUCCGGUGUAGCGGUAAAAUGCGUAGAUACCGGAAGGAACACCAGUGGCGAAAGCGAUUUGCUGGCCCGCCCUUGACACUCAGGCGCGAAAGCUAGGGGAGCGACCGGGAUUAGAUACCCCGUUAGUCCUAGCCGUAAACAAUGGGCACUAGGUGUUGUCGGUAUCGACCCCGGCAGUGCCGAAGCUAACGCAUUAAGUGCCCCGCCUGGGGAGUACGACCGCAAGGUU